rnacentral:tRNA from 1 species
GUAUGGGUUCCCGAGCGGCCAAAGGGAGCAGACUGUAAAUCUGCCGUCAUCGACUUCGAAGGUUCGAAUCCUUCCCCCACCACCA